rnacentral:tRNA from 1 species
AAGAAAAGGUCAGGAUAG